rnacentral:lncRNA from 10 species
UCACCAGGUAGGCAGAAUAGUCUUAUAUAGCCAUUUGUUGUCCAGGGCAAUUUUGCCUAUUAAGUCUGUUUCCUCCCAGUUAACCUUCCUUCCAUGAGCCUCUGAAGCUUGAUGUCUGAACUCAGGGAUGGUUUGGAAACCCCUACUUAGGCAGUCUUGGGUCUUCUCAAAUACUGCAGUCUAAUACCAUGUCCUGCCUGCUCUAAAACUGACUCCUGCUCCUUCCGUCUGUUUUUCCCAGUUUACAGAUCUGGCUUGUGUAUUCACUCUCUACAUGUCUAUGUAAGUAACCACAUUCGCAUUGGCUGAGAAGUCAUCACUUGCAAAAUAGUCUUUAUUGAGUUCAAGAGCCAACAUGCUCUCUGGUCCUUCUAAUCCAGCUGUUCUCAACCUUGGCUGCACAUGGAAUCACUGAGGGAGGCCUUGGUCUGCAGUAAAGCCUACACACCUCCCCAGGACUAAGUACGGAUUUCUGAGUAUAACCAUGGAAGAAGACCCUCGAAAGGGAACUGCUGAGUUAAAGGAAAUGUGCCAUUUAUACUUUGGCUAAAUGUUCCCACACUUUCAUUCCUGAAGUUGUGCCAAUUUAUGUUGGUAGAAACAAUGUAUUAGAGCACUUUCCCCAUCAUCAUAAAUACAGUGACUUGGAAGCUAAGGCCCAGAGAGGAGGAGAAACUUGAUCAAAGUCAAUCAGACAAUGCAGAAUCGAGAAAAGUACCUGGACCUCUAUGCCCAUGCUUCUAGCAGCCAGCCUCCUAAAAUACCUCUAGUUGAAGCCAAAGUUAGAAUCCUUCUACGAAACUACAGGAUUAAAAUGGAAUGGUUACAUGACCCAGGCUUGACCAAUCAGAUCAUCCAAACCCUUUGCCACAGUGAUUGGUCCAGGGAUACAUGCAUGAGCCAGCUCAGGUAAAUGAGACUCAAUUAUAAGAAUUUUGUUAGCGCAAUUGGGAAAAAGAAGUUUUCUUUCCAUGAGAACUAUCAGCUAUAAGAAUGUUGGAUGCUUCCAUCUGCUGGAGUCCAUGAAGA